UACGAAGGGGGCUAGCGUUGCUCGGAAUCACUGGGCGUAAAGCGCACGUAGGCGGCUUUUUAAGUCAGAGGUGAAAUCCUGGAGCUCAACUCCAGAACUGCCCUUGAUACUGGCGGUCUCGAGUCCGGGAGAGGUGAGUGGAACUGCGAGUGUAGAGGUGAAAUUCGUAGAUAUUCGCAAGAACACCAGUGGCGAAGGCGGCUCACUGGCCCGGUACUGACGCUGAGGUGCGAAAGCGUGGGGAGCAAACAGG
rnacentral:rRNA from 1 species